CCCUCCCUGGGGUGGGGGCCCCUCCCUGGUGCUGCUCAGGCUGAAAGGCUCAGAUUGGAGCUCUCCAGAGUCAGGGUUGAGCCCAAGAUCGGCCCCUACAUCUGCGUGACAUUGAGCAAGUCACUUUGUCUCUCUGAGCCUCAGUUUCCCCAUAGUAAUCUCUUUGUCACACAGCAGUUUUGAAGCCUGCAGGAGCCUCUGACACUGUGCCGGGACAGGCAGAUAUUCAGGCAGCGGGCGCUGUCUCUCCCUCCGGCUGCCAGCACAAGCACCACCUCCUCCGAGCAGCCUUCCCUGACUGCCCAGCUCCGAUGACCUCUUGGUCUGUCCUCUGGGCUGCACGGUGAGCCCCUCCGAAGUUCCAGAUGGACAUGGGACUCAAACGGCCAAUAACCAUGAGGCCCAGGACUUCUGCUGGAAGGUCACAUAGACAGCUGGAUCGAACUGUACCUGAAGCUGGUGGUCUCUGGAAUAUUCAGUUCCAUGAGUCACUUCACGGAGACACAACUCACGCACCGCACGAUCCACUCAUUUGAAAUGCACGAUGCGUCGGCUUCUAGCACGUUCACAGUUACGCACGUGUCGCCACCGUCCACUGCAGGACGGUCACAUACCCUGAACAGAAACCCUGUACCCUUCAGCUGCUGACCCCAACCCCUCUGCGCCCGCCGCCCCACUGCCCUGCAACUAGGAAUCCGCUUUCUGUCUCUACGCGCCUGCCUGUCCCGGACGCCCCCACACACACGGAAUCCCACGACCUGGAUCCUGUGUCCCCGGCUCCUCGCACCCGGCACCCCACUGCCAUGUCCACGCGGUGGCACGUGCCAGUGCUGCGCCCCCUGCCAUGGCCGGGCGACACCGCGGUGUGGACGGACCACGUCGCGUCUGUCCCGAUCCACUCUGCACAUCGGGCCCUUCCCGCCUUCUGGCUCUCACGAACGGCACCGCUGCGAACCGCGAGUGUAGACGCCUGCUUCCAUCUCUCUCCCGUGUCUACACCCGGGAGUGGGGUGCCGCCGCGUGGUCACUCUGUGACUUCCCUUCUGAGGAGCCCCCAGCCCUUCUCCCCGCCCCAGCCGGGCGCCCUCUCCCAUGGAGCGUCCUGCUCCCGGCCCCCAACGCGGCCACGGCCUGCCCUCCCCGGCCUCCCUUCGUGACUCGGUUUCCUUCCCGCCUGGGAGAGCGUAACAGUCCCCGGCCAGGUUCUCCGGGUGUUUGUGGGCGCAGCCGUCCCUGCCCGCGGCAGUGGGGACUUCGGUUGGGGACUUGCGCUCACUGGUGGCUCAGACUCGGGGCUUUAACAUCCCGUAGGAAUGACAAGUAGGAAGAGCAACCUUUUCUCUCUUUUUUGAAUCUUGGAGGCGUGGCGGCACGACGGCCUGGCGAGGCGGACUUGGGGGAGAUGCAUGUGGGGGUUCAGCAGAUGGGACCCCGAAGCCUGGGAGCGGACCCCUGGGAGUGGCUCCAGGCGUGAGGGUGGGUGGCAGGCGCCUGGCUGCCCAGGGGGCGCUGGGGGGGUCGCAGGUGCACCGUGGCGGCCAAACCCUGCGCCAGCUGCCCAGGCUCGCGGCUCAGCACAGUCUGGUGGGUUUGGGCCGAGUUCGAGGCGGGCACACAGCGAGGGCCAGCCCAGGCUGAGGCGGGCAUGGGAACUCACGCUCAGAGAGACCCUCUGGGGGUCUUCAGACUUCCGGGCUCAACAGCAGGGGCAGAGGCCAGGGGCCGACUGAGCACAGGGGUCACCCGCCCCUCCCGGACCCCAUCAGCCGCGCCCUGGGUGGAGGCUCAGGACGUUGACAAACCAAGAAGGGUGUGGGUCCGCUGGAAUGGAGACUGCCCUGGGACCGAUUCCUCUCCACGCCCCUCCCAGCCCCACCCCCAUGAAUCAGAGGUCCCCCCUAAAACCUCCCGCCUGCUCUCCGCUAGCCCUGACCGUGGGCUCUGGGGAUCCCGUUUGCAUCAGAAACACCCAUUUCCCGAGAGCGCCCGAAGCAGGAGGAAAGUGGCAAAGCCAGGGAGGAAAGCCAGCCCCGGCCUUUGCAGUGUGCUUGGCUCCUGACCACCCAAUGAAGGCCACGCGGGACACGCCCGGGGGAGCGGGUGGGGGGCUGCACUGCUGGGAGGAGCAGCUCCGGCCUCCCCUGCGGUGGCUGGCAGACGCGGCAGAGAACCACGCACCCCAACGUGUGGGGAC